AUUGAACGCUGGCGGCAUGCCUUACACAUGCAAGUCGAACGGUAACAGGUCUUCGGAUGCUGACGAGUGGCGAACGGGUGAGUAAUACAUCGGAACGUGCCCGAUCGUGGGGGAUAACGCAGCGAAAGCUGUGCUAAUACCGCAUACGAUCUACGGAUGAAAGCGGGGGAUCGCAAGACCUCGCGCGGACGGAGCGGCCGAUGGCAGGUUAGGUAGUUGGUUGGAUAAAAGCUUACCCAGCCGAAGAUCUGUAGCUGGUCUGAGAGGAAGACCAGCCACACUGGGACUGAGACACGGGCCAGACUCCUACGGGAUGCAGCAGUGGGGAAUUUUGGACAAUGGGCGAAAGCCUGAUCCAGCCAUGCCGCGUGAAGGAUGAAGGCCUUCGGGUUGUAAACUGCUUUUGUACGGAACGAAAAAGUUCUCUCUAAUACAGGGGGCGAAUGACGGUACCGUAAGAAUAAGCACCGGCUAACUACGUGCCAGCAGCCGCGGUAACAC
rnacentral:rRNA from 1 species